GCCCUGGAGGUUGCAAAAAAUUGGUGGCUGCGACUGUUUAUUAAAAACAUAGCACUGUGCAAACACGAAAGUGGACGUAUACGGUGUGACGCCUGCCCGGUGCCGGAAGGUUAAUUGAUGGGGUUAGCGUAAGCGAAGCUCUUGAUCGAAGCCCCGGUAAACGGCGGCCGUAACAAUAACGGUCCUAAGGUAGCGAAAUUCCUUGUCGGGUAAGUUCCGACCCGCACGAAAGGCGUAAUGAUUUGGAUACUGUCUCGGAGAGAGGCUCGGUGAAAUAGACUUGUCUGUGAAGAUGCGGACUACCUGCACCUGGACAGAAAGACCCUAUGAAGCUUUACUGUAACUUGAAAUUGAAAUUGGACUUUAUUCGCGCAGUAUAGGUGGGAGGCGUUGAGAAUACUCUUGCGGGAGUAUAGGAGCUAUUAGUGAGAUACCACUCUUAUAAUGUUAGGUUUCUAACUUUGAACCAUUAUCUGGUCAAAGAACAGUUUCAGGCGGGCAGUUUGACUGGGGCGGUCGCCUCCCAAAUGGUAACGGAGGCGUACAAAGGUUUCCUCUGAACGGAUAGAAAUCGUAUCUAGAGUAUAAAGGCAUAAGGAAGCUUGACUGUGAGACCUACAAGUCGAGCAGGGACGAAAGUCGGUCUUAGUGAUCUGACGGUACUGAGUGGAAAGGCCGUCACUCAACGGAUAAAAGUUACUCUAAGGAUAACAGGCUGAUCUCCCCCAAGAGUUCACAUCGACGGGGAGGUUUGGCACCUCGAUGUCGGCUCAUCUCAUCCUGGGGCUGUAGCCGGUCCCAAGGGUAUGGCUGUUCGCCAUUUAAAGUGGUACGCGAGCUGGGUUUAGAACGUCGUGAGACAGUUCGGUCCCUAUCUGCCGUGGGCGUUUGAGAAUUGAGAGGAGCUGCUCCUAGUACGAGAGGACCGGAGUGGACGAACCUCUGGUGUUCCGGUUGUGAUGCCAAUUGCAUUGCCGGGUAGCUAUGUUCGGACAGGAUAACCGCUGAAAGCAUCUAAGCGGGAAGCCCCCCUCAAGAUGAGAUGUGCUUGCUAUACGCGUGAGACCCCUGGAAGACCACCAGGUUGAUAGGCUGCAUGUGUAAGGGGU
rnacentral:rRNA from 1 species